GCACUGCUGAAGAGUCCCACAACAGGACGAAACGGCCGUUCAUUGC
rnacentral:hammerhead_ribozyme from 1 species